ACUCCUACGGGAGGCAGCAGUGGGGAAUAUUGGACAAUGGGCGCAAGCCUGAUCCAGCAAUGCCGCGUGCAGGAUGAAGGCCUUCGGGUUGUAAACUGCUUUUGUACGGAACGAAAAGCUCUGGGUUAAUACCCUGGGGUCAUGACGGUACCGUAAGAAUAAGCACCGGCUAACUACGUGCCAGCAGCCGCGGUAAUACGUAGGGUGCAAGCGUUAAUCGGAAUUACUGGGCGUAAAGCGUGCGCAGGCGGUCUUGUAAGACAGUGGUGAAAUCCCCGGGCUCAACCUGGGAACUGCCAUUGUGACUGCAAGGCUAGAGUGCGGCAGAGGGGGAUGGAAUUCCGCGUGUAGCAGUGAAAUGCGUAGAGAUGUGGAGGAAUACCGAUGGCGAAGGCAGCCCCCUGGGCCAAUACUGACGCUCAUGCACGAAAGCGUGGGGAGCAAACAGGAUUAGAUACCCUGGUAGUCCACGCCCUAAACGAUGUCAACUAGUUGUUGGGGAUUCAUUUCCUUAGUAACGUAGCUAACGCGUGAAGUUGACCGCCUGGGGAGUACGGUCGCAAGAUUAAAACUCAAAGGAAUUGACGG
rnacentral:rRNA from 1 species